UCAAGUAAAUAAGCGCAUACGGUGGAUGCCUUGGCAGCUAGAGGCGAUGAAGGACGUAGUAACUUGCGAUAAGCUUCGGGGAGCCGGUAAACAGGCUUUGAUCCGAAGAUUUCCGAAUGGGAAAACCCACCUAGGACAACCUAGGUAUCUUUAUCUGAAUUCAUAGGAUAUAGAGGCAAACGCGGAGAAUUGAAACAUCUUAGUAACCGCAGGAAAAGAAAUCAAUUGAGAUUCUGUGAGUAGCGGCGAGCGAAAGCGGAACAGCCCUUAAGCUUUUAUUUGGUUAGUGGAAUGGUCUGGAAAGGCCGGUCGUAGAAGGUGAUAACCCUGUACACGAAAACUAAAUAUAAGUGAAAUCGAGUAGGUCGGGACACGAGAAAUCUUGACUGAAUAUGGGGGGACCAUCCUCCAAGGCUAAAUACUCCUAGCUGACCGAUAGUGAACCAGUACCGUGAGGGAAAGGCGAAAAGUACCCCGGAGAGGGGAGUGAAAUAGAACCUGAAACCGUUUGCGUACAAGCUGUCGGAGCUUUUUAAGCCGUUCGCGGUUUAAAGGGUGACGGCGUACCUUUUGUAUAAUGGGUCAGCGAGUUAUUUUCUGUGGCAAGCUUAACUUUAUGAGGAAGGCGCAGGGAAACCGAGUCUUAAUAGGGCGACUUAGUCUCAGGUAAUAGACGCGAAACCGGACGAUCUAUCCAUGGCCAGGGUGAAGGUGAGGUAACACUUACUGGAGGCCCGAACCCACCUAUGUUGAAAAAUGGGGGGAUGAGCUGUGGAUUGGAGUGAAAGGCUAAUCAAGUUCGGAGAUAUCUCGUUCUCCCCGAAAUCUAUUUAGGUAGAGCCUCUUGUAUUACUGUUGGGGGUAGAGCACUGUUUCGGCUAGGGGGUCAUCCCGACUUACCAAACCGAUGCAAACUCCGAAUACCAACAAGUACAGCAAGGGAGACAGACUGCGGGUGCUAACGUCCGUAGUCGAGAGGGAAACAACCCAGACCGCCAGCUAAGGUCCCAAAUUGUGAUUAAGUGGGAAACGAUGUAGGAAGGCUUAAACAGCUAGGAGGUUGGCUUAGAAGCAGCCAUCCUUUAAAGAAAGCGUAACAGCUCACUAGUCGAGUCGGCCUGCGCGGAAGAUUUAACGGGGCUAAAUCACAAACCGAAGCUGCGGAUAAUUUACCGGUUACGGCCGGUUUAUUAUGGUAGGGGAGCGUUCUGUAAGCCGUUGAAGGCAAAUCGUAAGGUUUGCUGGAGGUAUCAGAAGUGAGAAUGCUGACAUGAGUAACGAUAAGAGAGGUGAAAAACCUCUCCGCCGAAAACCCAAGGUUUCCUGUCCAACGUUAAUCGGGACAGGGUGAGUCGACCCCUAAGGCGAGGGCGAAAGCCGUAGUCGAUGGGAAAUAGGUUAAUAUUCCUAUACUUCUUGUUACUGCGAUGGAGUGACGGAGAAGGCUAGGCCAGCAAGGUGAUGGAUAUCCUUGUUUAAGGUUGUAGGUUGGAAUUCUAGGUAAAUCCGGAAUUCUAAGACCGAGAACUGAUGACGAAUAUUUCUUUUAGAAAUACCAAGUGGUCGAUGCCAUGCUUCCAGGAAAAACUUCUAAGCUUCAGGUAGCAAGGAAUCGUACCGUAAACCGACACAGGUGGGUGGGUAGAGAAUACCAAGGCGCUUGAGAGAACUCUGGUGAAGGAACUAGGCAAAAUGGUACCGUAACUUCGGGAGAAGGUACGCCCUCAUUAGGUGAAGAGACUUGCUCUCAGAGCUGAAGAGGGUCGAAGAUACCAGGUGGCUGCGACUGUUUACUAAAAACACAGCACUCUGCUAACACGAAAGUGGACGUAUAGGGUGUGACGCCUGCCCGGUGCCGGAAGGUUAAUUGAUCGGGUUAGCCCUUGUGGCGAAGCUCGUGAUUGAAGCCCCGGUGAACGGCGGCCGUAACUAUAACGGUCCUAAGGUAGCGAAAUUCCUUGUCGGGUAAGUUCCGACCUGCACGAAUGGCGUAACGAUGGCCACGCUGUCUCCACCAGAGACUCAGUGAAAUUGAAUUUGCGGUGAAGAUGCCGUAUACGCGCGGCUAGACGGAAAGACCCCGUGCACCUUUACUAUAGCUUCACACUGGACUUUGAAUUUAUUUGUGUAGGAUAGGUGGGAGACUUGAAGC
rnacentral:rRNA from 1 species